AAAAAAUACCAUUUCAGCAAUUAUAUACUAAUUUAUUAUUUACACUAAUAAUCAUUAUCAAAAUUAUUGCAGCCCUAACAUGAAAUUUAUCGGUAAAUUGUACGGAAAAUUACUAACACGAUAACACUAUUGGUUCUGGUCAGUGACUUCUAACCUCACAACUUUAUUUACCUAUAAAAUUUUCUCUUCCAAACUUUCGGCUGAACUAAUCAAAAAGAGAAUUUUUAAGCUAAACAAAAUAAUUAGAGGGAAAACAUUAUAUACCAUAAUACACUCAAACUAUUCAUAAUAACGAGCUAUUUGCUGCAUAUACAUAUGUAUGAAUUUUUCUCUAUAUAUCAAUAUGAAAUAAUAUUUAUAGAAUAAGAAAAAAAAACUAAGCGAUUGAACUGCCAUUGAAAAUUUCAGGUCAAAUGACUUUCGGCCGGUGACUAAUGCAAAAGGGGAAACUCCUAGGGUUUCUCUCCAAUUACAUACUUUGCGCAUAUCUAUAUAUACAUAUGUAAAUAUAUUGUACAUACAGAUAUAAAAAUAUAUCUACAUAUUUCUUACACCAUAUAAUGCCAAUUUUCUCUCAUUUUGACGGUUAGUAAAACGAUGCAAUGAAAUUAUUAAGGAUAUAAACGUAUACGAAAUUAGCUCCAUGAUAAUAUAUCUAAUCUAAUAUAACCACAGACAUGCUUACAUUAUUGUGCAUUAUUCUACGUAUCUAUUAUUUAGUAAAGUAGCAAAUCCGCUCAACAUCAAAUCCAGAUAUAAAUGAAUCACGUAGGUACAAGUUAUCGCUAUACCGCAUCCUGUUUAUCAGCGACCCGCUACUAAUUGACUCAAUCACGAAAUAAAAAUAAACAAAUAUUUACAAUACAAAUGCACCAUCAAAAAAUUCCGUCUACCACCCUCCUCUUCUCUCUUUUCUUUCACAUCUUCUCGAUCACCAAAUGAACAUAAUUUUUUUCUCAAUGAGCUGAUAUUUGCCCGCAAUAAUAUUGAACCAAAUAACUCCUUGCUGAAUUCAUUACGAUUUACUAGCGCCCUUGGAUUGGGAAACAUCCAUACAUCCUACAUUAAUGAACGUUGUAACCACGUCGCAGUAAGUCAAAAUCUCGACCGCAAGGCACGUUUAUCAUACUUUUCAAGAACCUAUUAUAAGCGUAUGUACAUUUGUAAUCAUCAUACAAACUGUUCUAUUCAGCAAAUUUAUUUUCCGCGCUCAGUUUAGAGUAUGUUUUGCUUACCCGAUACAUACAAAGCAUGUCACACCUUGCCUCUCAACCCUCCCAGAUCACAAACACUUAAACAAACAAUGGCACAGCAGUCUAAAUGUAUCCGAAUAGAAACAUACAAAAAUACACUUUGCGCUCGUAUCUGCUCGCUCAACAUACGAAUAAAGUGAACCUCGUCUAAUUACGCCAACAGCAGCAGCAGUCGACCUGGGAAUUUUUUAUGUACUUAGGUUUUUUCCUUUCUCGUUUCCACUUUGUACUUUAAUACUUAUAUCGUAAUAUCGAUACAAAAUUUCACGGUUAAACUACUUCAGAUUAGCUCAAUUUUAGAGAAACUACUCGUAUCAUCACCUUUUUCAGCUGAGAGAUGACAACACGCAACUAAAAUGGCGGACGUUUCUCCAUUCGGUGUUCAUCCGUUUUCAUUUGUAUUAACUUUGACGUAGUUGCACUGCAUAUGGGUAUGUGAUUGUGAGUGAACGGUUUGCAAAACAAAAUAAAUUGAGAGAGGACAAUCUAUUCGUAUUUAUUAUAUAUACAACGUGAUGCCAAUCGUUUGAAAUUAAGGAAGCCAUCAAAAAAUCCAAAAAAUCCAAAAAUAAAUCAACACAAGAAUAUAAGUGCGACUAAACAGCAUUGAAGGAGUCUCCGCAUUUUAGAUGUUUACAACUUUUAAAAAUCAACAAGGAACUUCGACAAAAAUAGUAUAUAAUACAAAUAUAUUAAAAUAUUAGUCCCCAGAAGCCUUUGUAAAAAUAUGCAGAUAAUAACAAAUUAAAAUGGUACCGUGCUGAUGGCAAAGCAAGUUAUAUAGAA
rnacentral:lncRNA from 1 species